UUGCCUAAUUUGCAUUUUGGCAUUGUUUUGUUUCUUAAACAUCGAAUUAGAGCUAUUUGGGAACGUACUCGGGAGGGCUGAGCACCUCCGGGUUGGCUGUUUUGCCUUUUAGCAUCAUUUUGUUUCGUAGAGGCCAAAUUACCGAUGCUUGGGAGUGUACCUAGGAGAGCUGAGCACCUCCUCUCUCCUCUUCUUUUCCCUAUCAGGAGAAAGCGACGAGAAGCCGCACCCGCUCCGCGUGGCUCCUGGAUCCCAGGCGAGCGAGGAGGCCAGAGUGAGCGGGUCCAAGUCAGGCUCUGCUCCUGCAAGGGGUCCACGUAAAACACUUGCCCCGAGGGAAGUUAAAAAUCCUAGGGUUGCUCUUGUUCGUUCUAGCCUGAUUCAUCCAGAAAAUACAUCACAGAGUGGAUGGGAAGACCCCAAGGUGAUCCGCCUUCAACCCUCAAUCUCUAGAUCUGCUUCUUUGUUAUCUCCAAGAACACCUAACUCAGAGGCCCAGUCUUCAUGCUUGAAUACAAUCACCGUGAGAUUGAGAAUCUUGUCUGCCUUAUAUCCUGCUGAAUCUCCUGUGACAAGAACGUGCCUGCACGUAGUAGGCACUCUGUAAGUAU